CGAACUGGUGAGUAACGCGUGGGGAAGUCUGCCUUUGANCGGGGGACAACAUUUGGAAACGAAUGCUAAUACCGCAUAAAAACUUUAAACACAAGUUUUAAGUUUGAAAGAUGCAAUUGCAUCACUCAAAGAUGAUCCCGCGUUGUAUUAGCUAGUUGGUGAGGUAAAGGCUCACCAAGGCGAUGAUACAUAGCCGACCUGAGAGGGUGAUCGGCCACAUUGGGACUGAGACACGGCCCAAACUCCUACGGGAGGCAGCAUG
rnacentral:rRNA from 1 species